CUAGCAUAUCUGGAACCAAUGGAAUUUGAGCUCAAACCUCAACUUAACCUAAAUUAUCCAAAUCUUUAGUCAGGAAGCAUGUGAAAGACACAUAUGUGCUGACAGAGAAAAUGUCUAUUUUUGUCUUAAAAGGGAAAUAAUUAAUUAAUUAUUGAUCCAGCUGGACUUGCACUUUGAGCAAGCUUGUGUAGAAUCCAUACACCUCCACUGCUCAGCUGUGAAAGCAACAGCCUGUAUUAUCCAAUCCCAAAGCAGAGCACCAGAAAUGGCUUGCUGUAAGCUGAAUGCCAGCUGCAUCUACAGGGGUGGAGAUUCUGGGACUUUUUCUGCUGAAGGGUUCUGGUUUCAAUCCCCACUGAUGACUCAAGUGUCCAGGUGUGUAUGUAGCCCUGGUUUUUAGGUUCUGGACUGCUGGGAAAUGUGCACUGGCUCCUGAAUAAACUAACCAGCUUUCAGAUCCAGAGUGAAAGCUCUAAUGAUGGCUCUGCUUCACUAGACUGUCACGGUCCAGGGAGUUCCCAGGAGCUGACAACAUCUUAGGCUAUUAAUAGAAUGGAGUCUGUGAUUAAAUUAUGGCUUCUGAA